AGGACGAACGCUGGCGGCGUGCCUAACACAUGCAAGUCGAACGAGGUCCAUCUGGUAGCAAUACCAGUGAAGAUCAAGUGGCGAACGGGUGAGUAGCACGUGAGCAACCUGCCCCGAAGACCGGGACAACACCGGGAAACCGGUGCUAAUACCGGAUACCCCCACCGAGUCGCAUGGCUUGGUGAGGAAAUGGAUUCCGCUUCGGGAGGGCUCGCGGCCUAUCAGCUAGUUGGUGAGGUAACGGCUCACCAAGGCGUCGACGGGUAGCUGGUCUGAGAGGACGAUCAGCCACACUGGGACUGAGACACGGCCCAGACUCCUACGGGAGGCAGCAGUGGGGAAUCUUGCACAAUGGGCGAAAGCCUGAUGCAGCAACGCCGCGUGAGGGACGAAGGCUUUCUGAGUUGUAAACCUCUUUCAGCAGGGACGAUUGUGACGGUACCUGCAGAAGAAGCCCCGGCAACUACGUGCCAGCAGCCGCGGUAA
rnacentral:rRNA from 1 species